rnacentral:rRNA from 1 species
AUGACUUUCUUCCUUGGCCAUUACCCUCCGACGAGCAUUCCCGAUCCCCUCGACAAUGGCCGGAACCUCGGCCUCUUCAACAAAAGCGUCGGCACGGUGGCGACCGGCGACAACCGAGUCGUGGCGGUUGAGUUCGACACGUUCUUCAACGUUGAGUCCGACAACAGCGACAGCCACAUGGGCAUCGACGUCAACUCCAUCAUCUCCCGGGCGUACACCAACGUGGCCGUGCCUGGAAAGAACCUCACAUCGAACCUCCCAAUGACUUGCCACAUCAGCUACAGCAAUGACACAAAAAUCCUUGCUGCUGUUCUCCAGAUCGUCGACGUGACCUACCGUGUCAACACAAGUGUUGACCUGAGGCAGAUGCUGCCUAGUGUGGUGGCCAUUGGCUUCUCGGGUGCUACUGGCGUGGCCGUCGAGCAACACCAAAUAAUGUCCUGGUCAUUCAACUCCACCUUGGAUCCGUCGCCUCCACGGAGGAACCCCAAGAUUCCGUGGAAACUACUAGUAGAGGCAACCGGACCAGUUAUCGUUUUUUUGGCGAUUGUGUGCAUCUUUGUUGGCGUCCGACGACGGCAGCUAUGCACGAGAAAGAAGCAUUACAGAGCUCUUGCCAGAGGCCUUGAACAUUUUGAUUAUCAUAAGCUAGCGCGUGCAACCAACAAAUUCUCACAGGAGAACAAGCUCGGGCAAGGAGGUUCCGCCUCUGUUUAUCAGGGCCAACUGACAAGUAGACAUGUGGCCAUAAAGAGAUUCAGGCCAGUAGCAUCGGGCGAAGGGAGGAAGGCGUUCGAGGACGAACUCAGGAUUGCCAGUGGCCUGAGGCACAAGCACCUAGUCGAAUUGAUAGGCUGGUGCUACGAUCGCAAGAGGAACCCGAUUGAGUUCGUAUGCUGGUGGUGGGACGACAGGUACACACGUCUCUUUCUUGUGUAUGAGCUUUUGCCACAAGGUAGCCUCGAUCAACACCUACACAGGGGCAAAAGUUGGUUACCAUGGUCCAAGAGGUAUGAGAUCAUCCUCGACCUAGGAUCUGCACUGCAAUACCUCCACGUAGAUUGUGAGCAAGGCCAACAAUGUAUCGUACACGGCGAUAUCAAGUCCAGCAACGUGCUCCUUGGGUCUUCAUACGGUGCGAAGUUGGGUGACUUCGGAUUGGCAAGGUUUGUUCACCAUGAAACUGGGUCACAAACCACAGAUGUUCUGCAGGGCACUUAUGGAUAUAUAGACCCUGUGUUCCUCGACACCUGCCAACGGAACAGGCAGUCAGACAUAUAUAGUUUUGGCAUUGUCCUACUAGAGAUGGUCUCCGGAAGGGAUCCAACAAUGUAUGAGAGGUUGAUAAGCGGCGAGUCCAAUGUCACGCGUCAACAGAUGGAGCACACGUUACUCAUUGGGCUCUUGUGCGUGCACCGGGACCUGAGCAUACGACCGUCCAUCACCCACACCAUGGAAGCCCUGCGAUCGGAGGAGCUGACAUUGGACAUUGCUCCCCUAGCGCCUGUGACACUCUUGCUGCCAUAG